rnacentral:tRNA from 1 species
AAAGAUUUUAGCUUAAUUAAAGUAUUUGAUUUGCGUUCAGAUGAUGUAGGUUAGUGGCCUGCAAGUCUUA